AGCGAACGCUGGCGGCAGGCCUAACACAUGCAAGUCGAGCGCCGUAGCAAUACGGAGCGGCAGACGGGAGAGUAACACGUGGGAACGUACCCUUUGGUUCGGAACAACCCAGGGAAACUUGGGCUAAUACCGGAUAAGCCCUCACGGGGAAAGAUUUAUCGCCGAAGGAUCGGCCCGCGUCUGAUUAGCUAGUUGGUGAGGUAAUGGCUCACCAAGGCGACGAUCAGUAGCUGGUCUGAGAGGAUGAUCAGCCUCACUGGGACUGAGACACGGCCCAGACUCCUACGGGAGGCAGCAGUGGGGAAUAUUGGACAAUGGGCGCAAGCCUGAUCCAGCCAUGCCGCGUGGGUGAUGAAGGCCCUAGGGUUGUAAAGCCCUUUCAGCGGGGAAGAUAAUGACGGUACCCGCAGAAGAAGCCCCGGCUAACUUCGUGCCAGCCGCCGCAGUAACAC
rnacentral:rRNA from 1 species